ensembl:lncRNA
GACAGACAGACAGACAGACAGACAGACAGACAGACAGACAGACAGACACAGACAGACAGACACACACACAGACAGACAGACAGACAGACAGACAGACAGACAGACAGACAGACAGACAGACAGACAGACAGACGAGAUUAGUCAGCAGAAAUGAUUGAGGAUGACAUUCGCCUUUAAAUGUACUUCUUUAUUUCUCUCUUUCCCCACUGAGGAAGAUAAAGGACACACACACACACAGACAGACAGACAGACAGACAGACAGACAGACAGACAGACAGACAGACAGACGAGAUUAGUCAGCAGAAAUGAUUGAGGAUGACAUUCGCCUUUAAAUGUACUUCUUUAUUUCUCUCUUUCCCCACUGAGGAAGAUAAAGGACACACACACACACAUAGACAGACAGACAGACAGACAGACAGACAGACAGACAGACAGACAGACAGACAGACAGACCAGACCGACAGACCAGACCGACAGACAGACAGACAGACAGACAGACAGACAGACAGACAGACAGACACGAGGGCUAGGUAAUCAGGAACUCCUCCCAAGGUGGGUAUAUUGAUUUUAGUCCCCUUCUCAUUAACUAGAUGCUGACAGUGACCAGAGAUGGCUAGAUUGAGCUAGAGGGUGUGUGUGUUGUGUGUGUGUGUGUGUGUGUGUGUGCGUGCGUGCAAGCGUGUGUUUUUGUGAGAGAGUUAACAGGACUUUCGAUAAGAAUGACACACACAGCUCUGAUUCCAUUUUCUGCUUUGUGUUUCAAUUAGGUCUUAGUGGAAUAGUGACUCUCUGAGAGAUACGAGUUGCUGUGUAAACUUGUGUUAUUGACCAAAUACUUAUUUCCACCAUAAUUUGCAAAUAAAUUAAUUAAAAUUUUGAUUUUCUGGAUUUUUUUCCCUCAUUUUGUCUGUCAUAGUUGAAGUGUAUUAAGUUUAGGGCCUCAUUAUGAAUGGUUAAGGUUUGGGAUAGAGUUUAAACAGAAUGUUUAGGGCCUCAUUAUGAAUGGUUAAGGUUUGGGAUAGAGUUUAAACAGAAUGUUUAGGGCCUCAUUAUGAAUGGUUAAGGUUUGGGACAGAGUUAAAACAUUAAGAUUAGCCCCUCAUUAUGAAUGGUUAAGGUUUGGGAUAGAGUUAUAACAGAAUGUUUAGGGCCUCAUUAUGAAUGGUUAAGGUUUGGGAUAGAGUUAUAACAGAAUGUUUAGGGCCUCAUUAUGAAUGGUUAAGGUUUGGGAUAGAGUUAUAACAGAAUGUUUAGGGCCUCAUUAUGAAUGGUUAAGGUUUGGGAUAGAGUUAUAACAGAAUGUUUAGGGCCUCAUUAUGAAUGGUUAAGGUUUGGGAUAGAGUUAUAACAGAAUGUUUAGGGCCUCAUUAUGAAUGGUUAAGGUUUGGGAUAGAGUUAUAACAGAAUGUUUAGGGCCUCAUUAUGAAUGGUUAAGGUUUGGGAUAGAGUUUUAACAGAAUGUUUAGGGCCUCAUUAUGAAUGGUUCAGGUUUGGGAUAGAGUUAUAACAGAAUGUUUAGGGCCUCAUUAUGAA